AAGCGCUUAUGACCAGACAUUUACCUUUCGGAUCAUCCGGUGUUCUCACCGGUGCACUUCGUUUGGUUGAGGCCAGCAUCGGUUUUCGUAGGGGGAUAAAGGUUUUAGGAAUGUAGCUCUUCGGAGUGUUAUAGCCUAUUUCGUAAUACCCUUAUGGAGACCGAGGUUCGCGCUCUGCAAGGAUGCUGGCAUAAUGGUCAUCA
rnacentral:rRNA from 1 species